CCGGCCCCGCCGAGGGCCCGGGAUCCAGGCGGAGCUACACGCCCCCUCCGCUCCCCAGGCCUGGCGCGAUCGAGCGCGCCCGCGGCUCAGCUAGCCAGCCGGGGUCCUUCCCCUGGCUUUAGCUCCAGGGCUAUAGGGCUUCUGGCCCUAAGGACCUAAGAGAGGACAAGAGCUUUGGAAAAGGACAGCACGCAGAGAUGUCACCCGGAAGGCACCUCGACACUUGCACCAAUGCAAACUCCCGAGGACCCCAGCUGGCUCGGGCAAACGUCUCGCGCAUUCGUGCGAUCGGCUGCGGCGGGUCCCCCAACUUCUCUUGAAGACCGAGAGAUAUAUUAAACCUUAACGAUUUUAUUGUCCCACUUUCCAGACAGGAACACUGAGGCCAGAUGGGGGCGACCCCUUUUCGGACCUGGUGGCGGGACCGCCACCUUUUCAAACUAAAGGUGAGUUUGCAGAGUUCUCCGGGCUCCUCUCCCUGAACCUUGUACCGACGUCUGGGUCCGCCCCACCUGGGCCCUGGCAGUGGCCCCGGGGUCGGCGAGGAAGACGAGGCUCCCUGCGAGCGCCCCAGGCCUUACCUCUGCAGCAGAGCGUGUCCUCGCAGAGCGCGCUGGCCGGAGGCCCCAGCAGCGGCAGGGAGGCCCAGGCCAGGGCGCGGGAGGCCGUGCCGCCGGCUCCCAUCCCGGACGGGCUUUGCCGCUCCCGGUCCCGCGGGCCUUCCACCCUCCGCGGCACCUGUGGGGCCAGCGCUGUGCCCGCGGUCUCGGCUUCGGGGUCAGUCCCCGGCCAGGCCCGGAUGGGCGCUGAGCAGGGCUCCCUCAAUUCCUGGGUCUGCCCGGGCUCCGACUCCCACUGCGGCGGCCCCGGCAGGGCGCUAUUUUUAGCGAGAGCUGCUCUCCCAGUCCGACAGACAGAACCAGUUAAUUCGGCAGCUCGGGAAGGGCCUGCAUAGGGAGCUCCCCGGAAAGGCAGCCGCAGCUCUGCUGAAAGCUGAUCCUUCGCAUUCCUGCCUCUCGAGGCGGGAGGGCGGGAGGACGCCUCUAAUUCCAGAGGGAAGCUGGCGUCCUCUCUGGAGGCAGCCCUGGGCCCAAGUGCACGCCCAGGUUGGCUCUAAACCGGCUCUGAAAUCUGGCCUGACCUCCUUACACCGACCUCAAGACCUCAAGCUUCCUAUGAUGUCCCACAACGUGCACACCUGCAGUACCCCCCCCCCCUUCUGGCUGAUCUCCCGCACUAGGAAGGGCCCUGAAAAUGGGGUCUGGGCUCCAGCAUCUGCUCACCAUCAUCACUCAGAAGCUACUUGAUGAAUGAAGGGGAAGAGGAGUGAACAUCAGAUACAGGGUCUGUAGACCCUGGACAAUAAAGAAUUCAUGGACAGGGUGGACAAUAUGGGGUGAAUAGAUGGGGGUGGCUUUGAAAGCUUGCAGAAGAUUUUGAAAUCUUACAAAACUCCAAAUCCAACACUUUCUGGUUGUGUGACUUUGGCAAGCCACCUCACCUCUGUCCUCAGUUUCCUCUUCUGCAAAAAGGAGUUUGGGGUCCCAGGACAGUCUAUGGAAUACCCUUUUGUAAGCAAAAGUAUUACAUCCAUUACAUGGAUGUUCAUGUAAUGAGUGAAAAUGCAAAGAAUAAGACAUUCGGAUCUGCUCUCAAGAAGGCACUUGCUCUUUUAAUUCAAAGUAUAAGCCUAGAAAGGUACAAGACCAAGUGGUACUGGACUAAGGAUAAAUAGUCCAGUGAACUAGAAUAAAGACUGCAAAAACAGACCCACACAUAUAUGGAAGCAAUAUUUGGCAGAGGUGACACGGCAGAUCUGUGGGGAAAAGGUUCAAAUGUCAUGGGUGCUGGGCAUGGUGCUGCACACCUAUAAUCCCAGUGUCUCAGAGGCUGAGGCAGGAGGAUUGCAGGUUCAAAGUCAUUCCCAGCAACUGAGUGAGGCCCUAAGCAACUCAGUCAGACUCUGUCUUAAAAUAGAAUGCAGAAAAUAGCUGGGGAUGUGGCUCAGUGGCUAAGUGCCCCUGGGUUCAAUCCCCAGUUCUAAAAAAAAAAGUGACUUGGGAUCCCUAUCUCACACCACACAUAAAAUAUCAAUUCCAGAUGUACUGAAGACUUAAACACACAUGCACACAAUAUAAGAGGAAAGGAUUUCUUGAAAAAGAUAUGAAAAGCACAAAUCAUCAAGAAAAGGAUGGAUACAUUUAAUUAAAAUAUGAAACUCCUUUUUUUUUUAAACCCAGUGCCUCACACAUGCCAAGUGAGCACUCUACACUGAGCCACAACCCCAGCCCCUGAAACUCCUUUUUAUCAAGGGAAAUAUGUGCGACACAAGCUCCAAAAUAUACAAAGGCCUUUCAUAAAUCAAUUUUCAAAAGAAACAAUAGAAAAUUGGGGAAAUAUAUGAACAGGCAAUUUGCAGGAAAGGAACGAUGAAUGGCCAAUAAACAUAUGCAAAGAUUGUUAGCCUCACUUGUAAUCCGGGGAAAUGCAAAAUAAAACCUCUGUAAAGUGUCA